CGGUGGACGGAGGAGCCAUAUUAAUCAUGGUGAAGUCUGCGAGCGCGCCAUCAUAAAUCGCGCGACCCAGUGCUUAACGGACGGAGUCCCUGGACGCCCUCUCGUCAUUUAUCAACGCGCUCUAACUCCGGAUGCGGGCACGGAGCAGGUUCUGAGGAAGCCUUGGACCUUGUUGUUUGCCUCUUUCUGCACCAGUUGCUGUGCAAACAGUCAGCCCUCAUCUCUACUCACUCAUCCCCAGCCUUAGCUUUGAUCUGUUGGCCCUUGAGGACCCCUAAGAGCCCCUGAGGUCCCAAGCCAGAGAGGAGGUGUUUUACUGAUGAAGAUGGAUGACUUUGGUUGUCACCAAUGAUUCAUGGCUGACUCACAGAUGGGCUCCACUGUGAAUAAUAGCCCAAUGUAAUCUACAUAUGACAAUAUAUUCCAGUGGCCCCAUCUAUUAGAUAAAGGUAUGGUAGAGCCCUGCAGGGACAAUAUAAUGUUGUGGUUAGCAAAUUCCUCUGGUCACAUUACUUCUCUUACCACAAAUAGUGUUUAGGAUUUUGAAACACUAAUCAUGCUUAUCUUGUUUUGUGGCACUGUAGGUUUGUCUAUUUACUCUUACUAUUUUUUUAAUCAAACAAAUUUCUCUCUUAUAAAAUGCUGUUUUG